GACGAACGCUGGCGGCGUGCUUAACACAUGCAAGUCGAGCGGUAAGGCCCUUUCGGGGGUACACGAGCGGCGAACGGGUGAGUAACACGUGGGUGACCUGCCCUCAGCUCUGGGAUAAGCCUGGGAAGCCGGGUCUAAUACCGGAUAUGACUCCAUGACGCAUGUUGUGGGGUGGAAAGCCUUGUGCGGCUGAGGAUGGGCCCGCGGCCUAUCAGCUUGUUGGUGGGGUGANGGCCUACCAAGGCGACGACGGGUAGCCGGCCUGAGAGGGCGACCGGCCACACUGGGACUGAGACACGGCCCAGACUCCUACGGGAGGCAGCAGUGGGGGAAUCUUGCGCAAUGGGCGAAAGCCUGACGCAGCGACGCCGCGUGA
rnacentral:rRNA from 1 species